AGAGCUCUCUCACUGUCACUUAUGGAGUCUAUAUUUAUGACAUUUUGCUUUCUCACAGGUAUUUGGCAGUAUCCAGUAUUGCUAAGGGUGAUGCAAUUCCUACUUCCACUCUACCCCCCGGGCCUCCUGGCAUAGAGGCUGUCUUACCAAGGCUAAUGCAAACAUUGGAAAUGCUGUGUGACUACAACUUGCAGAAACCCUGCUGCAGAGGAGCACACCGACCUGUCACAUUCACUCCACUUCCACCUAACACCUCUGAGGCCAGUUUUUCCUCCAAGUUGUCCUGGCUGGAAAACGUGGAGCAACUGGUAAUGCUGGUGGAGUAG
rnacentral:lncRNA from 1 species